rnacentral:tRNA from 1 species
AGAGAGGUGGCUGAGUGGUCGAAAGCGCUCCCCUGCUAAGGGAGUAUACCUGGAUAAGGUAUCGAGGGUUCGAAUCCCUUCCUCUCUGCCA